GCGAGAGUGGCGGAAUUGGCAGACGCGCUAGACUUAGGAUCUAGUGGGCUUCGCCCGUGGGGGUUCGAGUCCCCCCUCUCGCA
rnacentral:tRNA from 1 species